UGGUACUAUUGGGCGGCCCAGAUCAGAAACAUAAUGGGGUUUUUUUCUACAGAAAGUCCCCCAUCGUUGGUUAACAUGGAAUCAGCGGAAGUCACACAGGGUCUGACCUUAAAAAGGAGGAGUUGGCAGAGGGCCGCGGGGGAGAAGGAAGGUCGAACCUCAGCGCCGGGUUCCUCGUCUUCCACGUCUUCCACCACUGCAUCCAGUCACCAACCUCAGCUUCUCUAGGAGCUUCACGUUCUCCUUCUUUGAGCUACCGCUGCAUCAUUCCCCUCACUGCCGUGCUGAGCAUGUCAGGAACCUCCUCCAGCUUAUUAAGCAGAUACACUACUGACAACUCUUUUAAUGGGGCAGUUUUUGAUUUUUCUGUCAUCAGAGUUUAUCCUCUCUUUUCAGACAUGAUGAAAAGAGAGGAUAAACUCUGUUCUCUGAACUUUUAAAAUUCGGGUGCACUGUGUCGUCCUUUUAAAUGUCUUGCUUGGUUUUGGUUUCAGUUAAAAAUAGUCCACAGAUGGACCGAUUUAAUAGAUUAAACUGUUUAAAACUGCAGAUUCCUCUUUGUAUUAGUAUAUUUAGUUCUCCUUUACUCUCCUCACUUUUCUGUCUGUCUCUUUCACUCUCUCACCCACAUCACUUAAAGCAGAGUUGCUACCAUGCAGCCUUUCAGUAGCUCUGAAAGACUGCAGAAGGGGAGAGAAAGGGGCGGUAAAACGGCAUCAAUGUGCAGAGUUCAAGACUGUCUUUCUCAUUUGCUGAUUCACGUGUAACAGCUUGUGUAGCUCCGUGCGUGUUGACCACAUAACUGCACACUAUCAGUUAUAUGCGGUUAACCAACGGUACUGCAACUGUUUGCUUUUUGUCACAUUACAACUACAAACUUGCAUUACGGUUUGGGCUCAAUCAGAGAAGUGUCUGUUAUAAUCAUUUUUUUAAGUCAUCCCAUUGAUUCUUGCAUGUAUUUUGUCUAGACUUUGACUGGACCCUUUUGACUGAUAACUAUAUGCUUCCAUCCAAAUUAUUCUAUGUGGAAAGUUUAGGGUCAUUGUCCUCUAGGAAGGUGAACCUCAGUCUCAUGUCAUGCCUCCUAGAGAAGGUUUUAUUUCAAGACUAACCUUAUUUAACCUCUUCCAUAUUCCCAUCAACUCUGAUUAGCCUUUAUGCCCUAGCAAAAAUAAAAACAUUCCCAUAGUAAUGUAACGGAAAGGAUUUUGAAGAAAGGGUCUUUAAACUUCAUAUUUAAGGAUGUCUGUCCUCACCUUGGAAAAAAUAUAGAUACCCUUUAAUGAUCAUUCGAUACAAUGUAUUGAAUGUGUCCCUUUAAAUGAAAGCUGCUUUUCAUACCCUGGUUAUUUGUACUACGGAUACACGCACUUAAACACACAGAGGAGACGUGUGUCCAUAAGACGCACCCAGAUGGACAGAUGCCACACUGAUAAAGUGAUGAAUGAGUCAUUAUUAUAUAAUAAUCUGUUUUUAUCUCCAUAACCACCAAUGGGCUGAUACAACAGAUAUGCCCACCUGGUCCCCCAUUAGUCAUCAUUAUGUCCUGUGAUGGUGCCGGUGAUAAUUCAAUUUGUGUGGCCUUUGUUUUAGUCGGGGUGGAGAAAUUAGACUAAGUCUCAUGGUUUGUAAUUUAAAAUAAAAGAACCAUAAUAAACAAAAAUAAACUAUUGAAAAUUUGUCAAGUACCCAAAGGAAUGGCAAAAAGGUGUGAAUAUAAAGAGCGUAUGAAUAACCUUGUUGAUCUGUUUGCCCAGACAGCUGUAGCUGACAAUCACACAGACCUCUGAUUAGUUGAUAUUCUGUAUUAAUCUGAAAUGUCACAUCCAUUGUUUUUGGGCACCAUCCUGUCAGUACAGAUGGAUGGUCCAGGUGGUGGGAUGCCAACCGAGUGGGUCAGUAGAACUGGGUUAUUCUAUGUUUGACUUUUCACACAAAGAUCUUUUUUUUUUAUUGUUUGUGCUGUUUGGCUCAUAUUUGAUCACAUUUCAAACAGCUUAAUUUUUACCCACACAGUGACAAAUGUGUUACUUUUAGAAAGUUUUUGAGAAUAUAUUCAUUAAUUUAAUGAUUUGAUUUUUAUCUUUAUUUGUUAAAUACUACAGUGUCAUCAUCAUAUUAGCCCAGUUUAGAACUGAUCAUUUGUGAUUUUCCUCUGUUUGAAAAGUCAGUAGUGAAGUAAACACAUCUUACUUUUACAAACUGAAGUUUGUAAUAAAAUAAAAUGUUCUCAACAA